GAAAGAAGAGAAAUCAAAGAGAGAAAAUCGGCUAUGGAGGGAGUAAUUUUACUCCUUGAAAUUUCAUCCAAGAAUUAUUUUCUCCUAGUAUUCCUACUAAUUCAAGGAUCCUCUACAACAUGAUGAAGUUAUUUUGGAAGAUAGGAGCAUUGUUUGGUUGAUUUGAAGCUUUGGUAAAGUGAAUGAGUUGGAAGGAAAAGAUUUUGGAGGAAACGGGAGUUGAAUUUGGACAAACGUAAAAAGCCGAUAAGGUAUCGAAGUUCGAUUUGCUGAUCCAUCCGUUUAGGAUAUUUGCUGCAUCGUUGACAGUGCUCCCUUGUUCGGAGCUUGUAUUUUGGUACUGACUUUAUCUCUGUAUAUUUAGAUAUGUUGGUCAGGGGUACGACGGGGCCCUG